AAAUCUCGUGAAACUGGUCUUAUAUUAUUGAUGAUCAGUUUGUUUUGAAGCCAGGUUGGUCUUGAGUGUUAAAGGUACUCAAGGUUGGUCUGGUGGAUUUGCAGACAUGAGAUGAGCAUUGAUAAUGAGAGUGAUCAAGUGUCUUAAGGGCAUUCGGUGGAUGCCUUGGCGACAAGAGGCGAUGAAGGACGUGAUACGCUGCGAUAAGCCAUGGGGAGCUGCGAAUAAGCUUUGAUCCGUGGAUUUCCGAAUGGGGAAACCCACUCCGUAUGGAGUACCCGCAAGGGAGCAAACCCGGGGAACUGAAACAUCUAAGUACCCGGAGGAAAGGACAUCAACCGAGACUCCGCUAGUAGUGGCGAGCGAACGCGGACCAGGCCAGUGGCUUGCAUUUAAGAACCGGAACCGUCUGGAAAGUCGGGCAUUAGUGGGUGAUAGCCCCGUACGGGUAGAAAUUAUGCAAGUCCUCGAGUAGGGCGGGACACGUGAAAUCCUGUCUGAACGUGGGGGGACCACCCUCCAAGCCUAAGUACUCCUUGUCGACCGAUAGCGAACAAGUACCGUGAGGGAAAGGUGAAAAGUACCCCGACGAGGGGAGUGAAACAGUUCCUGAAACCGGAUGCCUACAAACAGUUGGAGGGCGCAAGCCUGACAGCGUACCUUUUGUAUAAUGGGUCAGCGACUUAAUUUAACGAGCAAGCUUAAGCCGGUAGGUGUAGGCGUAGCGAAAGCGAGUCUGAAUAGGGCGCCCUAGUUCGUUGGAUUAGACCCGAAACCGAGUGAUCUAGCCAUGGCCAGGUUGAAGGUGCGGUAACACGCACUGGAGGACCGAACCCACGCCUGUUGAAAAAUCGGGGAUGAGCUGUGGUAGGGGUGAAAGGCAAUCAAACUCGGAAAUAGCUGGUUCUCCGCGAAAUCUAUUUAGGUAGAGCGUCGGAUCAAUACUCUCGGGGGAGAGCCUGGUGGGUAUGGGGGCUACCCCCUUACUGAUCCUAACCAAACUCCGAAUACCGAGAAGUACUAUCCGGCAGACACACAGUGGGUGCUAACGUCCAUUGUGGAGAGGGAAACAACCCUGACCGCCAGUUAAGGUCCCUAAGUUAUGGCUAAGUGGGAAAGGAUGUAGAACUCCCAAAACAACCAGGAUGUUGGCUUAGAAGCAGCCAUCAUUUAAAGAAAGCGUAACAGCUCACUGGUCUAAAUAAGGGGUUCCGCGCCGAAAAUGUACCGGGGCUCAAGCCAUACACCGAAACUGCGGGUGCAUCUUAGGAUGCGCGGUAGCGGAGCGUUCUGUAAGUCUGCGAAGGGGGACCCGUGAGGGCUCCUGGAGAUAUCAGAAGUGCGAAUGCUGACAUGAGUAACGAUAAAGCGGGUGAGAGACCCGCUCGCCGAAAGUCCAAGGGUUCCUGCGCAACGCUAAUCGGCGCAGGGUUAGCCGGCCCCUAAGGCGAGGCCGAAAGGCGUAGUCGAUGGGAAUGCAGUUAAUAUUCUGCAGCUUGGUGGUAGUGACGGAUGCCGUGUGUUGUAUCUCCUUAUUGGAUUGGGGGUGCAGCGAAGGUGUUCCAGGAAAUAGCUCCACCGUAUAAACCGUACCCGAAACCGACACAGGUGGACUGGUAGAGAAUACCAAGGCGCUUGAGAGAACUAUGCUGAAGGAACUCGGCAAAAUGCUCCCGUAAGUUCGCGAGAAGGGAGACCUCACGAUGGGCAACCGUUGUGGGGUGGCACAGACCAGGGGGUGGCGACUGUUUAUCAAAAACACAGGGCUCUGCGAAGCCGUAAGGCGACGUAUAGGGUCUGACGCCUGCCCGGUGCUGGAAGGUUAAGAGGAGGUGUGCAAGCACCGAAUUGAAGCCCCAGUAAACGGCGGCCGUAACUAUAACGGUCCUAAGGUAGCGAAAUUCCUUGUCGGGUAAGUUCCGACCUGCACGAAUGGCGUAACGACUUCCCCGCUGUCUCCAGCAUAGACUCAGUGAAAUUGAAUUCCCCGUGAAGAUGCGGGGUUCCUGCGGUCAGACGGAAAGACCCCGUGCACCUUUACUACAGCUUCACACUGGUAUUCGUCACGACAUGUGUAGGAUAGGUGGUAGACGUUGAAGCAGGAGCGCCAGCUCUUGUGGAGUCACCCUUGAAAUACCACCCUUGUCGUCAUGGAUAUCUAACCGCGGUACAACAAUAUCCGGGACCGUGUGUGGCGGGUAGUUUGACUGGGGCGGUCGCCUCCCAAAUGGUAACGGAGGCGCGCGAAGGUGGGCUCAGAGCGGUCGGAAAUCGCUCGUUGAGUGCAAUGGCAUAAGCCUGCCUGACUGCGAGACUGACAAGUCGAGCAGAGUCGAAAGACGGCCAUAGUGAUCCGGUGGUCCCUCGUGGAAGGGCCAUCGCUCAACGGAUAAAAGGUACGCCGGGGAUAACAGGCUGAUGAUGCCCAAGAGUCCAUAUCGACGGCAUUGUUUGGCACCUCGAUGUCGACUCAUCACAUCCUGGGGCUGGAGCAGGUCCCAAGGGUUUGGCUGUUCGCCAAUUAAAGUGGUACGUGAGUUGGGUUCAGAACGUCGCGAGACAGUUCGGUCCCUAUCUGCCGUGGGUGUAGGAGAAUUGAGAGGAUCUGUCCCUAGUACGAGAGGACCGGGAUGGACGUACCUCUGGUGGACCUGUUGUGGCGCCAGCCGCAUUGCAGGGUAGCUAUGUACGGAAGGGAUAACCGCUGAAAGCAUCUAAGCGGGAAACCCACCUCAAAACCAGUUCUCCCUGAAGAGCCGUGGAAGACCACCACGUCGAUAGGAAGCGUGUGGAAGUGCGGCAACGCAUGAAGCUUAGCUUUACUAAUAGCUCGUUCGGCUUGAUC
rnacentral:rRNA from 1 species